GGCUGAUAGAAAAUUUGCAGCAGCAGUAUACAACGAGAGAGCUAUUUCUGCCCCGUUGUCGGUGAAGUAUUGACAUUAUCUAUGUUCAGUGCUCAGCUGGCUAUGCUGCCAUGGAAAGUGCCCACCCUGUGCAUCCUAAAGCAAGUCUUCACGAUCUGAGAUGCAGUGAGGAUUCUUUGAAUGGGAGAAGGACUUUAGAGCUUUCUAUUAUGGAAGGAAGAUUCUAGAUCUGGAUUAAGGAGAAAGUUACCCGGGGGAUAAUGAUGGGGUUCAAAUGUAGGACUUAUGA